AACUACGGAAAAGCUGUAGCUAAUACUUGCUUUAUUAUCCUUUGAUUUUUAUCUUUGGAUAAGUAUUUGUUAGGCCUUAUAAGAAAAAAGUUAUUAACUUAAGGAAUUAUAACAAAGAAGUAACACGUAAUAAAUUUAUUUUAUUUAGUGUGUAUCAAUCGAGUUUCUGACCUAUCAGCUUUUGAUGUUAGGGUAUUGGCCUAACAUGGCUAUGACGGGUAACGGGGAAUUAGAGUUCGAUUCCGGAGAGGGAGCCUGAGAAAUAGCUACCACAUCUAAGGAAGGCAGCAGGCGCGUAAAUUACCCAAUUCUAAAGAAGAGAGGUAGUGACAAGAAAUAACAAUGCAAGGCCAAUUUUUGGUUUUGUAAUUGGAAUGGUGGGAAUUUAAAACCUUCCCAGAGUAACAAUUGGAGGGCAAGUCUGGUGCCAGCAGCCGCGGUAAUUCCAGCUCCAAUAGCGUAUAUUAAAAUUGUUGCAGUUAAAACGCUCGUAGUUGAAUUUCAAAGAAUCGAUAUUUUAUUGUAACUAUUCU
rnacentral:rRNA from 1 species